rnacentral:rRNA from 1 species
UACGUAGGUCCCGAGCGUUGUCCGGAUUUAUUGGGCGUAAAGCGAGCGCAGGUGGUUUAAUAAGUCUGAUGUAAAAGGCAGUGGCUCAACCAUUGUGUGCAUUGGAAACUGUUAGACUUGAGUGCAGUAGAGGAGAGUGGAAUUCCAUGUGUAGCGGUGAAAUGCGUAGAUAUAUGGAGGAACACCGGUGGCGAAAGCGGCUCUCUGUACUGUAACUGACACUGAGGCUCGAAAGCGUGGGUAGCAAACAGG